rnacentral:tRNA from 1 species
AUUCUUCUAGUAUUAACUAGUACAAGUGAUUUCCACUCACUAAGUCUUAAUAACAGCUUAAGGAAGAGUA